rnacentral:rRNA from 1 species
AACGCGAAGAACCUUACCUGGGUUUGACAUCCUCGGACAACCGUAGAGAUACGGCUUUUGUAGCAAUACAACCGAGAGACAGGUGCUGCAUGGCUGUCGUCAGCUCGUGUGGUGACAUGUUGGGUUAAGUCCCGCAACGAGCGCAACCCUUGUCCUUAGUUGCCAGCAUUCAGUUGGGCUCUCUAAGGAGACUGCCGUGGUUAACACGGAGGAAGGUGGGGAUGACGUCAAGUCCUCAUGGCCUUUAUAUCCAGGGCGACACACGUGAUACAAUGGACGGUACAGAGGGAAGCGAAACCGCGAGGUGGAGCCAAUCUCAAAAAGCCGUUCUCAGUUCGGAUUGGAGUCUGCAACUCGACUCCAUGAAGUUGGAAUCGCUAGUAAUCGCGGAUCAGCACGCCGCGGUGAAUACGUUCCCGGGCCUUGUA